GCCGAGGUAGCUCAGUUGGUAGUAGCGCUUCCCUGAAGAGGAAGAUGUCGGCGGUUCGAGUCCGCCCCUCGGCACCA
rnacentral:tRNA from 4 species